rfam:Danio rerio chromosome 14 genomic contig CTG1748, GRCz11 reference primary assembly.
ACUGGCAGCUAGCUCUCUGCAAUUCUCACAUUGUCACCCACUGAAGCUAAACAGGGCUGUGCCUGGUCAGUACCUGGAAGGUAGACCACAUGGGAAAGCUAGGUUGCUGCUGGAA